UAUUCUGCCUUUGAUGGAGUGUAUGCAAGGCAGGCAAAGGCUACGUUUUGAAUCCGAUGAGGGAAGAAUUUACGAAGCGAAGAAUUAACACGCACAAAGCGACGCAACCGUUCUACCACCCAACAACUCCUGGUGAAGAACGUUCAAUUUUUUACAAGUGAGGCAAAAUGACCGGAUCCGUUUCUCACCUCUCCUUUGGCUGGCGAAGUUCACAGGAGACAAAAGGCCCUGAGCCUCAGUGCAUGUUGGUGCAGUAGUCAAAAACGACAGGCUGCAUAAAAAUGACAUAUGUGGCUUCCCUCCCACCUCCCAUCCUCCACCUCAAAGUCUGGCUUCAAGAUUCCCAGCAAAAUAUUCCUUCUCACACAACCUGUGUAUGGAGCCCAAGCAGCUGCUGCCCGUCCUUCCGCCUUCUUAUACUGUAGGGAAGAGAAACCCUCCCCAGAGGAGACAUUUUCCCCCCUACUCGCAGUUGCAUCAUACUGCUGAACUUGGGUGUUAAAAAAUGGCUUGCUUCCUUUAUUACUGGGGAGGGGGGGUGUCUUGUGUCGGUAAUGGCUGCUCUGCUUGCUUUUAAACAGGACAAAUGGAGUCACAAGUGCUUGCAAAAAUAGCCAGAUCCACAUAGGAGGCUGCAUAUAGUUUUAUGGUUUCAGAAAACUUGAUUGGCCCUUCCGGACAGAGCGUCUCCAAUUUUAAAUCCUUUGUUCGUCUGACACGCAUUAGAAAGUCACUAUUCCAAGUAGCUCUGUGCCCCUCUGCUGCCCUUCAUCAUCAUCAUCAGUUUACUUCUACUUUAUUACACUUUUCGGUAAUUGCUCAGGGAAGAAUUAUUACGAGGGAGCGGGAGAAAAAUCAAGUGACUAUUAGCAGCGGUAGCUUUAUUGCAACAGGCACAGAACUCAUUCAUUUCAUGUUUUGCAGAAUAUAAAAGCACUGAAACAUUUUAAUUUUAAAUUCUUAUCAUUGAAUUUACUGCUUUUCUCUCACAAUGAUUUGUGUUGCUUUUUAAUUUUUACAGUCUCUACAGAAGCCAGAUGCUACCGCCUAGGGCCAAAAUAAUAAAAACCCACUGCAGUCAUGAGUUACAGAACAAAAAAGAAACACGCAGUUGACAGAAGUUAAUAUCUCAAUUUAACAGUGCUGCUUUGCUAAUGAUCCUUUGAUAUGUGUUUAUUUAGAAAGGUCUGAUCUUGACCUUGAAGGCAAACUAAACCACAAAGUCUUUAUGAGAAAAGAAAAAGACUUUAUUUAUAGAAUGGCUUUGUGUCAAUCACUGAAGCAGCUGGAUUUGAGGUGAAAAAACAUCACUAAGGAGGGUGCGGGUUCAUACACAAAGUGUUAAUUUACGGAUAUGAUUCUUGGAGAAAAAUUAAAUUCUAAAUAAGGAUA